rnacentral:rRNA from 1 species
UACAGAGGGGGCAAGCGUUAUUCGGAAUUAUUGGGCGUAAGGCGCGUGUAGGCGGCUUGUUAAGUCGGGUGUGAAAGCCCUCAGCUCAACUGAGGAAGGGCGCCCGAAACUGGCGAGCUUGAGUGUCGGAGAGGAUGGCGGAAUACCCCAAGUAGAGGUGAAAUUCGUAGAUAUGGGGUGGAACACCGGUGGCGAAGGCGGCCAUCUGGACGACAACUGACGCUGAGACGCGAAAGCGUGGGGAGCAAACAGG